rnacentral:rRNA from 1 species
UGGCGGACGGGUGAGUAAUGUCUGGGAAACUGCCCGAUGGAGGGGGAUAACUACUGGAAACGGUAGCUAAUACCGCAUAACGUCGCAAGACCAAAGAGGGGGACCUUAGGGCCUCUUGCCAUCGGAUGUGCCCAGAUGGGAUUAGCUAGUAGGUGGGGUAAUGGCUCACCUAGGCGACGAUCCCUAGCUGGUCUGGGAGGAUGACCAGCCACACUGGAACUGAGACACGGUCCAG